GCAGGAGGAAGAGGAGCUGGCGGCGGCCGCGGGCUGCUGGUCCACGCUGAGCUCGGCUACGGAAGCCCGACCGGGUCUCUUCAAAGACAUCAGCGGCUCUAAACGACACAGAACAGGAUAUUCCCUAUUGAGCUACAGCCAUCUUCCCACAGCAUGAUACUGCCACCACCCUGCCUCACUGGGGGUGAUGGUGAAAAAGUUCUAGGGUGUGAAUACUUUGGGCGGCAACUGCAGUGCCCCGCUAUGAGCGGAUUGGACCGUACCAGCGACAGCAUGGGGGUCCGAGUAGAACUCCUCCAGCUGGG